AACGAACGCUGGCGGCAGGCUUAACACAUGCAAGUCGAACGCCCCGCAAGGGGAGUGGCAGACGGGUAAGUAACGCGUGGGAAUCUACCUAGUUCUACGGAACAACACAGGGAAACUUGUGCUAAUACCGUAUACGCCCUACGGGGGAAAGAUUUAUCGGAAUUAGAUGAGCCCGCGUAAGAUUAGCUAGUUGGUGGGGUAAUGGCCUACCAAGGCGACGAUCUUUAGCUGGUCUGAGAGGAUGAUCAGCCACACUGGGACUGAGACACGGCCCAGACUCCUACGGGAGGCAGCAGUGGGGAAUAUUGGAAAAUGGGCGAAAGCCUGAUCCAGCCAUGCCGCGUGAGUGAUGAAGGCCUUAGGGUUGUAAAGCUCUUUCAGUAGGGAAGAUCAUGACGGUACCUACAGAAGAAGCCCCGGCUAACUUCGUGCCAGCCGCCGCAGUAAAAC
rnacentral:rRNA from 1 species